CCGCUGAUAACUUCAGCCCCCCCUUAGACUCUUGCUCCUGGGAACUGACAGCAAAAAUCAGGGCUCUACCCACAUGCUGGGGAGGGUGCCAGGGCAUCCUGAACACCUUCUGUCUGCCUUUUAAGCCGCUCAUCAUCUUGCUUCUUAUGGCGAGAGUCAGCACAGCAUAAAAUCAUUCAUAUAUUCAUAAGAGAAUGAAAGCAACUUCUGAGGUUGGGCACAGGUGCAACAUCAAGGACACAGGGAACAGCAUGAGCAGGUGACAUAGGCCAUUUAUCUGCUGUUUUUGCAGCCAGCACCUAUCCCUUAGGUCACACCUAUGACUGCAUGUGGGUAGGAGACCUCUCUGACCAGCGGAUGAAGGAGUUAAAGGCCACAUUUGAUUUACAGAUGAGUUGACUCUUCUGUGGCUCUAAGUUGAAAAUGGCCUGCUUCAGUACAGCUCCACUCAGGGGUAACCCUGAAAAAAACAGUGAAGAUAUUUGGGGAGGAUACAUGGCCAUAUGGUUUAUGUAGAAAAAGAAGUAGUAUACAGUAAAAGAGCCAGGAAGCCCGAAUUCAGUGAUAAGAGGCGUGUUUGGCUGAUGAUGACCUGGAAGGAAUAAAGGAAUAAAGAACUCUGGGGAAGAAGUAUGUGGAAUAUGAUGUGUGACAAGCUUUGUGUUUAUACAGCAAGCCUCUGGCAUGAAAGAAGCACCAACUAGGCCAAGUGGCUUGGUCACCUGACACCAGUCACAAGCUACAUGCCAUCAUGACAGAGUGGAAGUUAUGCAUGACCCAACACCAUGGAACUCUUCUUACUAAAGCUAAUUUACCACUGAUAAAUAUCCAGACGUCUAGGACCAUCAACACUCUGCCACUGGCUUGGCUCCAUCCCUGAUGGAGAUCAACCUUCCAGUUGGUGGCAGAUGAUUACAUUGGACACCUUCCAUCUUGGAAGAGUCGGUGAUGUGUAUUGACUGAGUCAACAUGUACACUGGGCACCAAGACUGUCAUUUUUUUCCUAGAGGCAUCUGUCAACAUGACUAUCAAAGGGCUGCAGAGUGCCUGGCUCAUGACCCAGGAGUCUAUUUAGCAUUACAGUGGACUGAGGAACCUGGGUAAAGUCAAGGAGGUGUAGCAGUAAGCCCAUGAUCAUAGUCCCCAUAGCCUUUUCACAAACUGCAACACCCAAAUGAUGAAGUCUGAUAAAGUGGUGAAACAUUUUUUUAAUUACUAGUGAGGACACAGCUUAGAGAUGGACCUCAUCCUCUAUGACACAGUGUCCAUCCCCAGUCAGUAACAAUUUUAUGGACAGCUUCUGCAUAGGUAACAUUGUGAAUAUGGGAACCAAGGAACAGAAACAGACAUGGCCCUGACAUACCUGACCCACCAGUAUACCCUGGAGCUCUGGAACUCUUUCUACACCAGCACUGAGAUUUCUGUGUCUCUUAUACAGCAACAUAGUAUUUUUUUUUACAGUGGAUGAUCUACUAUUGUUUUUUGCAUCAGUUUCCAUUUGAUGAAUUUCUGGAUUACUUCCUCUUCUGCAAACAAAUAAUCUUGCACAAAUGUCACUUUGUGGCUGAGCAAGUCUUGCCAUAAGAUCUACAACUGAAAAUGAGGUUUUUGUGGUUAGGAGUGAUUUAGAUUAUGCUGCCACACUGUCCUUAAAGUGACUGUCCCAAUGUAGCAGAUGCCACGGGGAGGCCCUGCCUUUCUCUUUAUAAAUGUUGACCAUUUCUCUGACCUGGAGACCCUGGGAGAAGGUCCAACUUUCUAGGCAUUUCUCUAUCUUUUCACUAACCCCCACUCAACUCUUCUCUGAGCUUUCACUGACAUCUUUGAGUAUGGGUUCUUGGUUCCUCCUUUUUUUUAAAAAAAAAAAAAUUAUUUAUUAUACACGCAGUGUCCUGUCUGUAUGACAUAAGAGAGCACCAGAUCUCAUUACAGAUGGUUGUGA